AAGUCGUAACAAGGUAACCGUAGGUGAACCUGCGGUUGGAUCAUUAAAAAAUAUUUGACGCCGUGGUGCAAUCCAGCAGGGGCCUUGGCCCCAAUGGAUGGCAUCUGCGGCCACCACACACAUCCAUGUGAAAUGUUUUGUCUCUGGCAGUAGGACAGAUGCAGCGAGCAAUCCGUUCUCCUCGUGAGGGGUCCGUUUUGUGUGCACCUGUUUGUCAGCUUGGGCCUGUGCCUGAGCCGUGGACAAGCUGCCAACCGUGAUAUAAACACACAGGUUUUGUUUCUGUCUAUUCGGAGUGUCUGACAUGUGCAUGUAAUGUGGAAACAACUUUUGGCAACGGAUCUCUUGGCUCUC
rnacentral:misc_RNA from 1 species